rnacentral:rRNA from 1 species
GAUGAACGCUGGCGGCGUGCCUAAUACAUGCCAGUCGAGCGAACAGACGAGGAGCUUGCUCCUCUGACGUUAGCGGCGGACGGGUGAGUAACACGUGGAUAACCUACCUAUAAGACUGGGAUAACUUCGGGAAACCGGAGCUACUACCGGAUAAUAUAUUGAACCGCAUGGAUCAAUAGUGAAAGACGGUUUUGCUGUCACUUAUAGAUGGAUCCGCGCCGCAUUAGCUAGUUGGUAAGGUAACGGCUUACCAAGGCAACGAUGCGUAGCCGACCUGAGAGGGUGAUCGGCCACACUGGAACUGAGACACGGUCCAGACUCCUACGGGAGGCAGCAGUAGGGAAUCUUCCGCAAUGGGCGAAAGCCUGACGGAGCAACGCCGCGUGAGUGAUGAAGGUCUUCGGAUCGUAAAACUCUGUUAUUAGGGAAGAACAAAUGUGUAAGUAACUAUGCACGUCUUGACGGUACCUAAUCAGAAAGCCACGGCUAACUACGUG